UGUUAUCAGACGAGAGUCAGCCAGAUGU
rnacentral:sRNA from 1 species